AGUGAACGCUGGCGGCAGGCCUAACACAUGCAAGUCGAACGGCAGCACAAGAGCGCUUGCUCUCUGGGUGGCGAGUGGCGGACGGGUGAGGAAUGCAUCGGAAUCUGCCCAUUUGUGGGGGAUACCCUCGGGAAACCGGGACUAAUACCGCAUACGACCUACGGGUGAAAGCAGGGGAUCUUCGGACCUUGCGCAGAUGGAUGAGCCGAUGCCGGAUUAGCUAGUUGGAGGGGUAAAGGCCCACCAAGGCGACGAUCCGUAGCUGGUCUGAGAGGAUGAUCAGCCACACUGGGACUGAGACACGGCCCAGACUCCUACGGGAGGCAGCAGUGGGGAAUAUUGGACAAUGGGCGCAAGCCUGAUCCAGCCAUGCCGCGUGUGUGAAGAAGGCCUUCGGGUUGUAAAGCACUUUUGUUGGGAAAGAAAAGCAGCCGGUUAAUACCCGGUUGUCAUGACGGUACCCAAAGAAUAAGCACCGGCUAACUUCGUG
rnacentral:rRNA from 1 species